rnacentral:rRNA from 1 species
GUGGGGAAUCUUAGACAAUGGGCGCAAGCCUGAUCUAGCCAUGCCGCGUGAUCGAUGAAGGCCUUAGGGUUGUAAAGAUCUUUCAGUGGGGAAGAUAAUGACGGUACCCACAGAAGAAGCCCCGGCUAACUUCGUGCCAGCAGCCGCGGUAAUACGAAGGGGGCUAGCGUUGUUCGGAUUUACUGGGCGUAAAGCGCACGUAGGCGGAUUGUUAAGUCGAGGGUGAAAUCCCAGGGCUCAACCCUGGAACUGCCUUCGAUACUGGCAAUCUUGAGUCCGGAAGAGGUGAGUGGAACUCCUAGUGUAGAGGUGGAAUUCGUAGAUAUUAGGAAGAACACCAGUGGCGAAGGCGGCUCACUGGUCCGGUACUGACGCUGAGGUGCGAAAGCGUGGGGAGCAAACAGGAUUAGAAACCCCAGUAGUCC